CAUAAACUUGCAUAAUUUGUUUCCACGCAACAGUAAUGAAACUUCUGCACUUUCAAAAUUACUCAAUUUCAUAAUCAUAAUUUUUUAUAAACUCUAAAUGACUGUAUUUUAGGCAAUAUUUGUGAUAGCAAAAAAUAUGAAACAAUCGUUUUAGGAGCCCCGUGGUGCUCCCACGGUGACAGAGACGAUUUUUUCUUUUAUGAUAUAAACUGCCUAACAGAACAAUUUUCUCUCAAUAUGUUGAGUGUAUGUUAUAAUCUUUGAGAAAUCUUAUAAACGAAAAUUACUAAUAGAAAUAAUAUCUACUAUAAGUACAUUUGUUUGCUGUUUUUAUUAUUUUCAAAUGGCGUUUUUAG